UACGGGGGGAGCAAGCGUUGUUCGGAAUCACUGGGCGUAAAGGGCGUCUAGGCGGUUCGGUAAGUGGGAUGUGAAAUGCCCGGGCUCACCCCGGGACCUGCAUCCCAAACUGCUGAGCUUGAGUACAGGAGAGGGUAGGGGAAUUCCAGGUGUAGCGGUGAAAUGCGUAGACAUCUGGAGGAACACCGGUGGCGAAGGCGCCUACCUGGCCUGUUACUGACGCUGAAGCGCGAAAGCUAGGGGAGCAAACGGG
rnacentral:rRNA from 1 species